rnacentral:lncRNA from 1 species
CCCAGCGUACUGCCGGGCUGCCGGGUCCCUGCUCUGGGUACUUCUCUGCUUUCGGGCGUCUCGUCUAGAAGCUGCAGCUUGGCCUGUCUCACCUCUACACAGAGGGGCUGCUGGCGCCUGACGGAAAAAGGUCCACACACCCGAUGGCCGGCCCGGGGUGGACGCUGCUGCUACUGCUGCUGCUGCUGCUGCUGCUGGGGUCCAUGGCAGGGUAUGGGCCACAGAAGAAGUUGAACCUGUCCCAUAAGGUGGGUGCCGGGCACCCCUGAUGCCCCUGCAGGCCCCACACGCGCCAUAAGGUGGGUGCCGGGCGCCCCUGAGGCCCUUGCAGUCCCCACCCGCGAGGGCUGCCACUUUCCGUCAGGAGGGUCUCAAAGGGACACAAAGCGCCUUCCUGGAUGAAACCCUCCCUGAGGCUGCACUCGCUCUCCUGGCCACACGCCCGGCUGUGCUGCCCAAGCACACUUGAGGCUAUGGGACGGCGACCCCAGCACCAGGAGCAGCCCUGGGGCCACCACGGCCACCGUCAACCAGGCAGGAGAGAGCGGGGCCACAUGGGAGCUGCACCAGUGUGCACUUCGCCCCGGGCCCCCAGCACUGACCUGCCAGAACCACGGCAGUCUGGGUUUGUUCCAGAAACUUCUCAGGAAACCCAAGUUUGAAGGAUGGUGACACAGGGGAGCCAAGGAGAGGGCAGGCCUUUCCUGAGUGCUGAGUCUGCAGGCCCUGCCCAGGAACAGGUGAGCGAGCUGGUGAGUGGUGUUUCAGGGCAUCGGGGAGCCAUGCAGGAGACACGAGGAGUGCCAGAGCAACUGCUGUACCAUCAACAGCCUGGCCCCACACACGCUCUGCACCCCUAAGACCAUCUUCCUGCAGUGCCUGCCCUGGAGGAAGGUGAGCCCAAUGGGUACAGAUGCUCGCACGACUCAGAGUGCCAGAGCAGCUGCUGCGUCCGCAACAACAGCCCGCAGGAGUUGUGCACGCCCCAAAGCGUCUUCCUGCAGUGUGUGCCCUGGCGCAAGCCCAACGGCGACUUCUGCAGCAGCCAUCAGGAGUGUCACAGCCAGUGCUGCAUCCAGCUGAGGGAGUACAGCCCCUUCCGCUGCAUUCCCCGGACCGGGAUCCUGGCCCAGUGCCUGCCCCUGGUAAGUCCCGGGCGGGGGCUCAGCCUCCAGGCCCUCCCUUGGCCGCCACAGGGAAGUCGCACAGAAACACAGCAACUGGACCGGGACCGCGGCUGUGAGAGGUGGGCUCUGAGCACCCAGGCACCCCUGCUGGGAGAGGCCGGCGCUUCACCGCCCAUCUCAUAAGGUGGGGGCCGCAGAGAAGGCUCCUGGGCUGGCACUGAGCCCACCAGGCCCCGCAGGGCACGGGUGCCCGGUCGUGAUGUGAGCUCGAACCUGGGCGCGAGGGACCGGCCUGGGCCCUGGGAUGUUCACGCAGGACCGCGUUGCGCGGGGGCUGGUUCCAGCGGAAGCUUCCCUUACGGUUUGUGCUGCUGUUUCUGGGGCUCUGAAAAUCUGUGGGAACUGAAAGGCUGUGACCAGCCUGGUGGCGCGAAGUGUCUGUGAGAACAAAUCCCAGGCACUGGGGUGUAGCCUGAUUGUUAAACAUCAAUAAAGGCUCCUGGCCGACUGA